AUUGAACGCUGGCGGCAGGCCUAACACAUGCAAGUCGAACGGUAGCACAGAGAGCUUGCUCUCGGGUGACGAGUGGCGGACGGGUGAGUAACGUCUGGGAAACUGCCCGAUGGAGGGGGAUAACUACUGGAAACGGUAGCUAAUACCGCAUAACGUCGCAAGACCAAAGUGGGGGACCUUCGGGCCUCACACCAUCGGAUGGGCCCAGAUGGGAUUAGCUAGUAGGUGGGGUAAUGGCUCCCCUAGGCGACGAUCCGUAGAUGGUCCGAGAGGAUGACCAGCCACACUGGAACUGAGACACGGUCCAGACUCCUACGGGAGGCAGCAGGGGGGAAUAUUGCACAAUGGGCGCAAGCCUGAUGCAGCAACGCCGCGUGUAUGAAGAAGGCCUUCGGGUUGUAAAGUACUUUCAGCGGGGAGGAAGGCGGUGAAGUUAAUAACUUCACCGAUUGACGUUACCCGCAGAAGAAGCACCGGCUAACUCCGUGCCAGCCGCCGCUGUAA
rnacentral:rRNA from 1 species